rnacentral:tRNA from 1 species
GGUUGUAGCUCAGUGGCAAAGCGCUUGUCUAGCAUGUGUGAGGCACUGGGUUCAAUUCUCAGCACCA